AUUUAUUUGAUCUCUUUCAGAACAUCACCUGUCUGUUAUCCACCUGCUUAAGUACUGGUGAAGGGGGUCAUUGGCUAUCAAGUUCUAGAUUUCAGUGGCUAAUAGAGGACACUGCUGAAGUCAGACGAGAGUGAAUCCUCAAAGGUCUGUGUGCGUACCUAAAUGAAGAUCCAGAGAAGCUGGUGAAAGAGUACAUGGACGUUGAUGGAGGUGCAGAAAUAGCCAUAGCUGAGACUUUCCUUGGAAUCUUUGUCAUUCCACCAGAGGGUGCGGAGGCUGCCGAUGCACAUCUGGAUGUUGGGAUUGUCCUGGAGGGGGUGGAGGUUAUGAACAGCUUGGGGAGUGUAUUGUUUGCAAUAGUGAUGCUGCUGGGGCUAAUCUACGCGCUAAACUUGAGCUACCCUGAAGAGCUCAAGCAUACCUUUGAAGUGCUACAGAAAAUAAUUAUGAAAAUGGAUGGAAAGAACUUAUCAAAGAAAGCACAAGUUCUCAAUAUAAAACUGUCCCGCUGAGAAACUUGAUAAGUUGAGGGAAAUUUCAUAUGGAAAAUCAGUGUUUAAAGUCUGCAGUAGAAAACAUUUAAAUUGUUACAGUUCUCUAAGUUUAGCAAAUAUACUGGCACGUUUUAUGUUGUGAAGAAUUGGCUGGAAAAUCAAAACUGUAACCUUUUUUUUGUUGUUUUUUAUUUCAAUGUCCAACUCAGCUGUGUUUUGU